rnacentral:rRNA from 6 species
CCUGGCGGCCGUAGCGCGGUGGUCCCACCUGACCCCAUGCCGAACUCAGAAGUGAAACGCCGUAGCGCCGAU